rnacentral:misc_RNA from 1 species
AACUUUUGGCAAUGGAUCUCUUGGUUCUCGCAUCGAUGAAGAACGCAGCGAAAUGCGAUACGUAAUGUGAAUUACAGAAUUCAGUGAAUCAUCGAAUCUUUGAACGCACAUUGCACUCCUUGGUAUUCCGAGGAGUAUGCCUGUUUCAGUAUCAUGAGCACUCUCACACCUAACCUUUGGGUUUAUGGCGUGGAAUUGGAAUGCGCCGACUGUCAUGGUUGGCCCUUCUAAAAUGUAGUUCUUGGCUGUCACCUAAUACAGCAGUUUGGCCUAAUAGUUUUGGCACUCAUUGUCAAAUCUUUGGCUAACAUUUGCUCCAGGAGUCAGUCUUGAUAAUACAGAAAACUCAUUCAAAUUUUGAUCUGAAAUCAGGUAGGGCUACCCGCUGAACUUAAGCAUAUCAAUAAGCGGAGGCU